GAGUUUGAUCAUGGCUCAGGAUGAACGCUGGCGGCGUGUCUAACACAUGCAAGUCGAACGAAGCGUAUAGAAGGAAGUUUUCGGAUGGAAUUUUAUAUGACUUAGUGGCGGACGGGUGAGUAACGCGUGGAUAAUCUGCCUUACACAGCGGGAUAACAAGUGGAAACAGUUGCUAAUACCGCAUAAGCACACAAUAUCGCAUGAUAAAGGGUGAAAAGAUUUAUCGGUGUAAGAUGAGUCCGCGUCCCAUUAGCUAGUUGGUGAGGUAAAGGCUUACCAAGGCGACGAUGGGUAGCCGGCCUGAGAGGGUGAACGGCCACAUUGGGACUGAGACACGGCCCAGACUCCUACGGGAGGCAGCAGUGGGGGAUAUUGCACAAUGGGCGAAAGCCUGAUGCAGCGACGCCGCGUGAAGGAAGAGGUAUUUCGGUAUGUAAACUUCUAUCAGCAGGGAAGAAAAGGACGGUACCUGA
rnacentral:rRNA from 1 species